AACUGUCUGUGCCUCGUCCCUCAUGACAAAUGAUGUCAGUGGGCCGUGGCGACCGCCCUCGAGAGGUCAGCGGCUUAGCCCGCACCUCGGCGCUCGCGGAAUCGGCUGGCGCGGCUCUGGGGCGGCACGGGCGGGGCUGCCUUGGGUCGCGCGCGGCACCGCGGUGACGUCACUCUUGCGCGCGCAGUAGGCGUGGCCUAAAUUUCAACGCAGUUGGCGGGAGCCGAGGCUGAGGGAGAGUCCAGGGCGCUGUCCUGCGAUGGAGCCCUCCGCCGGGAGCAAGGAGUAUACAGAAGGCACGGCGACCGGGGAGUGGAUGAAUACAAUCCCGGUUCCAAGACCACCCUCCAUUGAAGAAUUCACCAUAGUGAAGCCCAUUAGUCGUGGUGCCUUCGGGAAAGUGUAUCUGGGGCAGAAAGGCGACAAGUUGUACGCAGUCAAGCCAGGAGUGAUGGCACAUGCCUAUAAUUCAAGCACUUGGGAGGCUGAGGCAGAAGGAUCCUUGUGAGUUCAAGACCAGCCUCAAUUACAAAAGUGAUCUUAAGGCCAACCUGAACUGCACACAGCAACACUGACUCAAGAAAAGACCCCCCCCCCAAUGUGCUUUGUUACACAACUAUACUAUAAUGCCCAAAUACUCUAUAAGUAAUGGAAUAUCUUUUUGGUGGAGAUGUCAAGUCUCUUCUUCAUAUAUAUGCUUAUUUUGAUGAAGAGAUGGCUGUGAAGUAUAUUUCUGAAGUAGGGCUGGCUCUCAACUAACUUCAUAGACAUGAAAUCAUCCAGAGGUAAAUCAAAUUAUGUGUUAAAUGUUUGGAUAUCAAAUAUUUACUGUAACCAUUUGCCCAUAUUUCCAGAUUAAGGUUUAAUAGUAACUUGUGUGAGUUUAGAAAUUCUCUUACCUACUGUUUUGUCUCCCUGUGUUUGAAAUUAUGUUACUUUGAAUAUGAACAUAAUAUUUCAGUGGAAAGAUUUCAGUUCUUUUCCACUCUUUUGCCCUCAUACAAAAGUUCCAUACUGUAUAGUCCUAGCUGAUUUACACUACUUUGUUCUGUGUAAAGAAAGGUUAAGUUACUCUGCUCUGUUAAAGCUUAAUCUUACAUUAACAGAAAAGAAGAUACACAAUUUUGAACUGGCUUGUGGAUUAUUUUAUGUAAUGUGAUUAUUUUUCAUGGAAAAUAUAACAAUGUCACAGAUAAUCUAAAAUUAAAUCAUUUAACAUUUUGUGGAUUCAGAUGUACCAAAGAGCUUCUUUUGAAAGUUCUCCCAUUGUUUGCAAAGCCACUAAUAAAUACAUUUAUUUUAGAGGAAAUAAAUAGAAUUUGCCUCCUCUAUAACUCUUUUUUUUUCUCAGCUAUUUUAAUAUUAAAACUAGAUUUUCAGCUGGGCGUGGUGGUGCAUGCCUGAAAUCCCAGCACUUGGGAGGCUGAGGCAGGAGGAUUGUUGCAAGUUUGAGACCAGCCUGCGCCACAAAGUGAGUUCAAGGCCAGACUGAACUGCACUGUGAAACCCUGUCUCCAAAACAAAACACCUAGAUUUUCACUAGGCACAGUGGUGCAUGCCUGUAAUCUGAGCACUCAGGAGGUGCAGGCAGGAGGUUUGCUGUGAGUUCAAAACCAGCCUGAACUACAUAGCAAGAACUUGUUACAAAAAAAAACAAAAAAAAAUUUAAAAAAUAAAACUAGUCUUUUCUUUAGUUAUCUAUUUGCCUUUUGUUUUAUGUACAGGGAUUUGACAUCAGGCAAUAUACUGAUUUUUAAUGAGGGUCAUAUUAAAUUGACAAAUUUUGGUCUUUCCAAAGUGACUUUGAAUAGAGGUAAGAAAAAUACCAAAUAUGUACCUUUUUAAUGGUCCUGCAACAAUGAACAGCAGCAAGAAAAAAAAAAUUUUAGAGAAUACAUUUCACUAACUUACAUUGUUAUUUUUUUGUUUAUACUAAAUGAAAUUCAAUAUUUAUUUGUAGACUAUAUGUAAGUGCGUCAUUUUUCCACUAAAAGUGUAAAAUACUGUUUUACAUGCUCAGUAUUACAUGUUUAGCAUCCAUGAGGCCUUGAGCUCGAUCCCUAGCACAGAUACUUAGGUAGAUAAUCAAAAAUGGGAAUGGCCACUAUUAAAUUUUCAGACUGUUGAAAAUCCUUGGCUUUCAAGCAAGCACCUCCCCUUCCUGGUAAGCGGCGGCAGUGUGGCCCACUGCAGCGCUUCCAGGGGGAGAACCAGCAGUGUCCCCUGAGAUCCACGCCAUGUUGGAACUUAGGACUCUGGGAAGCCAAGCCAGCACCUCCCCUCCCUGGUAAGCGGAGGCAGGGUGGCAGACUGUAGCCCUUCCAGGGGGAGAACCAGCAGUGUCUCGUGAGAUCCACGCCAUGUUGGAACUUAGGACUCUGGGAAGCCAAGCCAGCACCUCCCCUCCCUGGUAAGCGGAGGCAGGGUGGCAGACUGCAGCCCUUCCAGGGGGAGAACCAGCAGUGUCUCCUGAGAUCCACGCCAUGCUGGAACUGAGGAUGCUGUGAAAACAAAUGACCAUCCUGCCUCCCUGCUUAGCAAUAGUGACCUACUGCUACAUGGCCUAGAGUCAAAUAUCCCACUUCCCCUAUCCUCCUGCUCCCCCCCCCCCGCCCAUUAGCAAAUGGGAACCAGAAAUCUGAGCAUCUCCUGGGAGGUUGACCAUAGCAAAUACUUCCGUUUACCAUUUCUUUGAAGGCAAAUAUUUUUAUUACUGUUUUGCUCUUUUCUGAUUAAUGGUACUGCUCUAUUCAGUAUUUUGUUUUGAUAAGUUCUAUAGUGUUCUAUAUUUCAUCUCAUUUUGAUAUACGUGAUUGAAAGAACAACUAUUAUAAAGAUAACAAAAUAUACUAUGAUACGUAUUACUGUUAUCCCGGUAACCUGCUGUGAAGUUCUGUACCAGUUUCACUGUACGAUUCUUAGUUGGCUUUAUUCUGACUUGUUCUGUUGUAUACUUUCAAAAUAAAAUAAAAUAAAAUAAAAUAAAAAUAAAAUAAAAUCCUUGGCUUUUUAAAAAGAAA